CGGGACACGUGGUAUCCUGUCUGAAUAUGGGGGGACCAUCCUCCAAGGCUAAAUACUCCUGACUGACCGAUAGUGAACCAGUACCGUGAGGGAAAGGCGAAAAGAACCCCGGCGAGGGGAGUGAAAAAGAACCUGAAACCGUGUACGUACAAGCAGUGGGAGCACGCUUAGGCGUGUGACUGCGUACCUUUUGUAUAAUGGGUCAGCGACUUAUAUUCUGUAGCAAGGUUAACCGAAUAGGGGAGCCGAAGGGAAACCGAGUCUUAACUGGGCGUUAAGUUGCAGGGUAUAGACCCGAAACCCGGUGAUCUAGCCAUGGGCAGGUUGAAGGUUGGGUAACACUAACUGGAGGACCGAACCGACUAAUGUUGAAAAAUUAGCGGAUGACUUGUGGCUGGGGGUGAAAGGCCAAUCAAACCGGGAGAUAGCUGGUUCUCCCCGAAAGCUAUUUAGGUAGCGCCUCGUGAAUUCAUCUCCGGGGGUAGAGCACUGUUUCGGCAAGGGGGUCAUCCCGACUUACCAACCCGAUGCAAACUGCGAAUACCGGAGAAUGUUAUCACGGGAGACACACGGCGGGUGCUAACGUCCGUCGUGAAGAGGGAAACAACCCAGACCGCCAGCUAAGGUCCCAAAGUCAUGGUUAAGUGGGAAACGAUGUGGGAAGGCCCAGACAGCCAGGAUGUUGGCUUAGAAGCAGCCAUCAUUUAAAGAAAGCGUAAUAGCUCACUGGUCGAGUCGGCCUGCGCGGAAGAUGUAACGGGGCUAAACCAUGCACCGAAGCUGCGGCAGCGACGCUUAUGCGUUGUUGGGUAGGGGAGCGUUCUGUAAGCCUGUGAAGGUGUGCUGUGAGGCAUGCUGGAGGUAUCAGAAGUGCGAAUGCUGACAUAAGUAACGAUAAAGCGGGUGAAAAGCCCGCUCGCCGGAAGACCAAGGGUUCCUGUCCAACGUUAAUCGGGGCAGGGUGAGUCGACCCCUAAGGCGAGGCCGAAAGGCGUAGUCGAUGGGAAACAGGUUAAUAUUCCUGUACUUGGUGUUACUGCGAAGGGGGGACGGAGAAGGCUAUGUUGGCCGGGCGACGGUUGUCCCGGUUUAAGCGUGUAGGCUGGUUUUCCAGGCAAAUCCGGAAAAUCAAGGCUGAGGCGUGAUGACGAGGCACUACGGUGCUGAAGCAACAAAUGCCCUGCUUCCAGGAAAAGCCUCUAAGCAUCAGGUAACAUCAAAUCGUACCCCAAACCGACACAGGUGGUCAGGUAGAGAAUACCAAGGCGCUUGAGAGAACUCGGGUGAAGGAACUAGGCAAAAUGGUGCCGUAACUUCGGGAGAAGGCACGCUGAUAUGUAGGUGAAGUCCCUCGCGGAUGGAGCUGAAAUCAGUCGAAGAUACCAGCUGGCUGCAACUGUUUAUUAAAAACACAGCACUGUGCAAACACGAAAGUGGACGUAUACGGUGUGACGCCUGCCCGGUGCCGGAAGGUUAAUU
rnacentral:rRNA from 1 species